rnacentral:rRNA from 1 species
CUGAGGUGGAAGUGUGGCGACACAUGGAGCUGACAGAUACUAAUCGAUCGAGGACUUAACCUAA